rnacentral:rRNA from 1 species
UACAGAGGUCUCAAGCGUUGUUCGGAUUCAUUGGGCGUAAAGGGUGCGUAGGCGGCGCGGUAAGUCGGGUGUGAAAUCUUGGAGCUUAACUCCGAAACUGCAUUCGAUACUGCCGUCGCUUGAGGACUGGAGAGGAGACUGGAAUUUACGGUGUAGCGGUGAAAUGCGUAGAUAUCGUAAGGAAGACCAGGCUGGCGAAGGCGGUCUG